UUCUACUGUUCUAGCUAUUUUUCUCGUCCAACUUCCCACCCCUUAAACUGAUUGCCGCUAUUUUCCUGCAUUAUUCUACCUUCAAAAAGUGAUCACCACACUGGGCAUUUAAACCUCAGUAUACAUUAACCCGAUCCUGAAACUGGCCAGCCUUACGUGAUAUCUACGUCACGCAUUCGUCAUGUGCUCUGUCAACCAUCAAUCUUCAACUUCUCUUAUACCGCAUUCUGAACUUUUGGAUUCGGCUCCUAUCAACUAAAUAUUUUCGCCAUUAUUAUGAAGCUAUAUCAUUCGAACUCAAACUCAAGAUUUUGUUUGAUAAAUUAAAAAUAAAAGCUUCCUUGAU